rnacentral:tRNA from 1 species
AUCUUUCUAGUACUAAAACAAGUACAAGUGACUUCCAAUUACUAAGUCUUGGUUAAAAUCCAAGGAAGGAUA